AAGUCGUAACAAGGUUUCCGUAGGUGAACCUGCGGAAGGAUCAUUAGUGAAUUAAACAUGCUUGGUGUCUUCGCUUCGGCAAGGCCCUUGCUUAAAUCACAUCCUAACACCUGUGAACUGUAAGACGUAUGAUGAGGUCUUUGGCCAAGUCAUCGUCUGCCCAUUUUUAACAAACAAUUAAUGUAACAAACGUAGUCUUAUUAUAACCUAAUAAAACUUUCAACAACGGAUCUCUUGGCUCUCGCAUCGAUGAAGAACGCAGCGAAAUGCGAUAAGUAAUGUGAAUUGCAGAAUUCAGUGAAUCAUCGAAUCUUUGAACGCACCUUGCGCUCUUUGGUAUUCCGAAGAGCAUGCCUGUUUGAGUGUCAUGAAAAUAUCAACCUUGACUUGGGUUUUGUGCUCUAGUCUUGGCUUGGAAUUGGGUGCUUGCCGCUUUUACGAGCGGCUCACCUUAAAUGUAUUAGCUGGAUCUGUCUUUGAGACUUGGUUUGACUUGGCGUAAUAAGUAUUUCGCUAAGGACAUUCUUCGGAGUGGCCUCGUUUCUAGGACGCUUGUCCGCUUCCCAAUACAAGUUCCACCUCGUGGACAUGACUUUUUUAUUAUCUGGCCUCAAAUCAGGUAGGACUACCCGCUGAACUUA
rnacentral:rRNA from 1 species